ACGUAGGGUGCGAGCGUUGCCGGAUUAUUGGGCGUAAAGAGCUUGUAAGUGGCAGUUCAAGUCUGCUGUCAAAGACCGGGGCUUAACUUCGGAAAGGCAGUGGAAACUGAACAGCUAGAGUAUGGUAGGGGCAGAGGGAAUUCCUGGUCUAGCGGUGAAAUGCGUAGAGAUCAGGAAGAACAUCGGUGGCGAAGGCGCUCUGCUGGACCAUAACUGACACUCAGGGACGAAAGCUAGGGGAGCGAAGUGGGAUUAGAUACCCCAGUAGUCCUAGCCGUAAACGAUGGAUACUAGGUGUUGUCUGUAUCGACCCGGACAGUGCCGUAGCUAACGACGUUAAGUACUCCCGCCGUGGGGAGUACGCACGCAAGUGUAGAAACUACAAAGGAAUUGACGGGGGCCCGCACAAGCGGUGGGUCGACGCGGCCG
rnacentral:rRNA from 1 species